ensembl:lncRNA
CCACGCUUGAGGUCAGCCAGGUCUCUGGGGAGGACGCAUGAGAUGUAGAUGGACAAAAUAAUGAAUUCUACUGAGCACAUUCUGAUUUGAUCUGACUUAUUCAAGAGCAGGUGCAAAAGAAGAAAAAUUGAAAAGUAGGAAUCAGCCAAUCCUACGACUUCUCCCACCUCAGGGUCAAGAGCAAAGCUAUUUCCGGCAGGAUGCAAAGGAUGGAUACAAGAGGAGGAGGUGACAUGGCCUUGAAUACUGUUGCUUGAAGUUUGCCAGAAUCAGCAAAGCAUUGCUUCAGAGGGCAGAAAUUCUGAACUGAGUGGAAAUAUAGCACAUUGCUGCCGAUGGGGACCUGCUCUCUCCCCCUAUGAUCGCUGAUCUUUC